UAUUAGGGGUGCAGGACAAAGGGAAGGAAGAAUAUCAGCAGGUUCUGGGGUUUUCAAGAGAAUGUAGUAAUUAAAGAGUGUACGGUGAUAUAAUGAGUCUGCACAUUUUGAACCAGCACAAAACACAGAGACAGAAAGUAGAGUAUUCAAGACAAUUCACCAGAGCAAAAACAAAACAGUUGCAAUAACAGAAUGAUCACGUACCGUAUCUACACCGCAGUUUGAAUUAUCACUAUCAUCUGGAACCUUAGCAACACAACACCACAGACCAAAAGAAUUAAAAAGAUGAAGACAUACUUUAGAUGUACACGAUUUAACAGGUGGAAUUCAAUGGGUCUUGAAGACCAUUGCUUCCAAAACUCCUCAGGCCAUACUUAUGAAUCGCUACCACUACACAUUCACUAAUUGCCUGCUCCUGAGAUGAGGCUAACAUAUGUCUUUCCUACUGCACCUUUAGAAGAGUCUCUCAAUCAAUUAACAUCUUAAGUGCUUCCCAUUCCAUAUAAGAACCUGACAGUUCCGCUCUCCAGACGGAUGACUAAGUGCUGAAGAUGUGAAUUCUGCAACACAGGAAAAGGAAAUCAAAAAAUGAGCAAAUAAAAGCAGCCACAAUGAAACACUAAUACACCCGUAAGGUGUAUCCGACUGAAACAGAAACAAAAUGCACCAAGUACACAAACAGCAACAUUGAUUAAAAGACCAAGACAGACAAACUAAUGAACCAAUUAGAAAGUUGAGCAUUCAAGUCCAACUCCAGAGACUUAAGCAAAUAAUCCAGCUGGCACCACCGAGGGAAUUCUGUACUGUUGGAGGUUUCUCGGAUGAGACAUUAAGCCGAGGCCCCGUCUAUACUCUCAGUUGGAUAUAAAAGAUGCAGUGGCACUAUUACAAAGAAGAGCAGGGGAGGUUAUCCCCUUGGCUAAUAUUUAUCCCUCAACCAACAUAACUAAAAACAGAUCACCUGAUCAUUAUAUAAUUGUUGUUUGUGGGAACUCGCUGCGUGCAAAUUUGGCUGCCACGCUUCCUACAUUACAGCAAUGAACACUUAUCAAAAGUACUUAGUUGACUAUAAAACACUGGGUCACUAAGGUUAAUAAAGGUGCUAUUUAAAUGCAAAGCUCUCUCUUCUUUUUCUUUGCUUGCUCAUUUAACCAGGGCAUCAGGGAUGUUUGCUGCUUUGUGCUUUUAGAUGUCAAAAACCAUUGUGUUCUGCAAUAUAU